UGGGGAAUUUUCCGCAAUGGGCGCAAGCCUGACGGAGCAAGACCGCGUGCGGGAUGAAGGUCUGUGGACUGUAAACCGCUUUUGAUAGGGAAGAACACAAUGACGGUACCUAUCGAAUCAGCCUCGGCUAACUCCGUGCCAGCAGCCGCGGUAAUACGGAGGAGGCAAGCGUUAUCCGGAAUUAUUGGGCGUAAAGCGUCCGUAGGUGGUGAUGCAAGUCUAUUGUCAAAGCAUGAGGCUUAACCUCAUACCGGCAGUGGAAACUGCAUUGCUAGAGUGCGAUAGGGGCAAGGGGAAUUCCCAGUGUAGCGGUGAAAUGCGUAGAUAUUGGGAAGAACAUCGGUGGCGAAAGCGCCUUGCUGGGUCUGCACUGACACUGAGGGACGAAAGCUAGGGGAGCGAAUGGGAUUAGAUA
rnacentral:rRNA from 1 species